AGCAGAGGGAGCCUGGCUCCCGUGCCGCGAGGCAUGAGGAAAGUCCCCCCACCCGUUCGGGCAGGCGGCCGGAUGCAAAUCCGGGACGGGAGACCGUCGGCACUGGAACAGAGACGACACGUCCCUCUCGAACCGAUGAGGCGCGCGACCCGACCCGCGAGGGGAGGAAGCUAACCCGCCGAGGGAAGCGCGGCUUCGCCGCGUUACACGCGAACGGCGCAAGCCGUGAGCGAGCGUGACCGACGAACGUCGGUCACGUUACAGGUGCGCGGCGUCAGCCGCGAGCCAGACGGGAGGGGACCGAUGGAACGGCUAAUCCCCGCCGGUGCAAGUCCACGCGCGCAAGGUAGCCCGACACGCCCGCAAGGGGCCGCGUGGACGCUCAGCCGAAUGCCAGGCCGAACAGAAGGGGGCUUACUCCCCUCCAGCU
rfam:Halobacterium hubeiense strain JI20-1 genome assembly, chromosome: I